UCCGGUUCAUCACCGGCAGUCUCCUUAGAGUCCCCACCAUUACAUGUUGGCAACUAAGGAUAAGGGUUGCGCUCGUUACGGGACUUAACCCAACAUCUCACAACACGAGCUGACGACAGCCAUGCAGCACCUGUCUCUAAGUUCCUUGCGGCACUCCGAUAUCUCUACCAGAUUCUUAGGAUGUCAAGGGUAGGUAAGGUUCUUCGCGUUGCAUCGAAUUAAACCACAUGCUCCACCGCUUGUGCGGGCCCCCGUCAAUUCCUUUGAGUUUUAACCUUGCGGCCGUACUCCCCAGGCGGAGAACUUAUCGCGUUAGCUUCGAUACUAAUAGGUCAAGCCUACCAACAUCUAGUUCUCAUCGUUUACAGCGUGGACUAC
rnacentral:misc_RNA from 1 species